rnacentral:tRNA from 1 species
GUCCUCGUAGUUCAAUGGAUAGAACAGUAGCGUCCUAAGCUAUUGAUGUAGGUUCGAUUCCUGCCGAGGACACCA